CCACCAAACACUCGCAUGCGAUGCCACGUCAAGUUUUUAUCCCCACGUGGCAGGAUAUGAGAGAAGCACGCCUUUGUGAGUCAAUGGCCGCCAGCCAGCCAGUCAAAAAUCUCGUGUUCAUAUUCUCAACGCGUUCCUUCUCCUUCGACUCCACUCAACUUUUCCUUUCUGUCAAAAUUUCCAGGAAACUGCACACGCAAUUCAUUAGCUUUUUUGGUCAUAUAAAUAACUUAAUAACGCACUCUCCUCGCCCAAAUUGAUCGACCCGUGAUUGCAUCAAGCUCAAGAAUGAAGUCAGCCAUGAAAUCAUACGGCCUUCCUGUUAUCGGAUUUAUGUUCUUGGCACUGCUACAACUCGGCUUUGGACAGACCAUAUCUCCCUCACCUGCCCCAUCUCAAACCAACGACGGUACAGCGAUCGAUCAGGGAAUUGCUUACACUCUUCUAAUGGUGGCUCUAGCAGUUACAUACCUCCUCCAUUAGAUUUGUUGGAGAAAUGAAAUGAUCACUGUAUUCUUUUUGUAUCUCGAUUCCUCUCCUUGUCCAUGUAAUUUAUAUACUGGCCUCCAUCAUUAGUUCAUUACUAUAAUUCAUACACCAUUCUUUUUUUUAUGGCUUCAA